AUUGAACGCUGGCGGCAGGCCUAACACAUGCAAGUCGAACGAGUGGCGGACGGGUGAGGAAUGUUGGGGAAACUGCCCGUUGGAGGGGGAUAACUACGGGAAACGGUAGCUAAUACCGCAUACCAUCGGAUUUGCCGAGUGGGGAUUAGCUAGUCGGUGGGGUAACGGCUCACCUAGGCGACGAUCCCUAGCUGGUCUGAGAGGAUGACCGGCCACACUGGAACUGAGACACGGCCCAGACUCCUACGGGAGGCAGCAGUGGGGAAUAUUGCACAAUGGGCGAAAGCCUGACGCAGCAAUGCCGCGUGUAUGAAGAAGGCCUUCGGGUUGUAAAGUUCUUUCGGCGAGGAGGCGUUACUCGAAGAAGAAGCAUCGGCUAACUCCGUGCCAGCAGCCGCGGUAAUUC
rnacentral:rRNA from 1 species